AUGGAAGCAGAGGACAUGACUGCCAGGAGAGGCUGCCACCACACAUGCUGCUGCCCCUCUUCCUGCAGCAGCUUCUAACCUGCUUGUAAGGCUGUGUCACGGACACUGGCAUAACAUACUGAAGUUCCUGUUGGCAGAGAGGACAGUGGAGGCCCAUGGUACUGAUGUGCUACUUUGUGCGCUGGAAUAGAGUUAGGACUUUUCUGCAGGGAGACUGCCACAGAGGAAAAGAAGUCCUUCAGCCUGCAGUGACAGGGAUUCUCAGCUACUCAGCAGAGAACUGGACAGUGAGAGCAACCUGGGCAAUGUGCUACCAUGGACCUGGAAAGCUGGGAAGAACAUGGAUAGUAAGCAGCAGAGGAUGGGCUGGAAAAGCCUGUGCCCAUGUGAUGCAAACCAUUAGGGCCCUGCUUCCUUCAAAGAUAAAACUGACUGCUGGUUUCAGGGGCUAUUUAUUGCCAUGACAGUGAUAUAUCACUCUGAGUACUGCCUCUUAAAGGAUUAUUAGCACCUACCUGAUCUGAAAAAGUACAAACAUUCAACCAAAAUUGCUGUAUUAAUAGAUAAGUCUAAAAUAAAUAAACAGGAAACAAACAG